AUACGGAGGGUGCGAGCGUUACUCGGAGUCACUGGGCGUAAAGCGUCCGUAGGCGGUCGGGUAAGUCGGGUGUGAAAGCCCCGGCUCAACCUGGGAAGUGCACCCGAUACUGCUCGACUCGAGUGCGGGAGAGGAUGGCGGAAUUCCCGGUGUAGCGGUGAAAUGCGUAGAGAUCGGGAGGAACACCAGUGGCGAAGGCGGCCAUCUGGCCCGCAACUGACGCUGAGGGACGAAAGCGUGGGGAGCAAACAGGAUUAGAAACCCCAGUAGUCC
rnacentral:rRNA from 1 species